ACGCGACCCAGGUCAGGCGGGACCACCGCUGAGUUUAAGCAUAUCA
rnacentral:rRNA from 1 species